GUUUGGUGCUGACUGAAGUGAGAGUGAACGCUAUGGUGAGAUCGAAAGAGCCUUCAGAAAUAAAAUUGUAGCAGUUAUGAGUCUGGUUCACCCUGAGAGCAGACCACAAGAUGCUAAAAGUUGUAACCAAAACCCCUAAAAUGCAUCAUGGAACCUACAGCAGGAUCUUGUUUCUGAAAGAGACUACACAAGUUUUUCUUUUUCAAAAAGAAAUUAAAGCGGACAAAACAUGACCCAAAACAUGCCAGUAAAUCCACCAAGGACUGGAGGAAAACUGAGAAAUGAAGAGUCCUGGAAUGGCCGAGUCAAAGCCAAGAUCCUAAUCCCAUUGAGACGCUGUGGAGUGACUUAAAAAGAAACUCCUCAAACAUCUCACAGUUUAAAGAAUUCUGCGUUGAAAAGUGGGGCAAUCUUUUCUCAGAACGAUGUCAGAGACUGAUGAAAGGCUACAAGAAGCUUCUCACUGAAGUUAUUUCAGCUAAAGGAGGUAACACUAGGGGGUAGGGGGUCCUAACUUUUUCCUUAGUUAGAAUAUACAUUUUAGUUGAUAUCUUUUGUUUAAUGAGUAAAACAGGGUUAAUUUUUGUCGUUUACCUGCAAUUAAAUCACUUUUUUCACCAGAGAAAACUAACAACAAGAUUAGACAUCGCUAUGUGAACAUUUCUUAAUAAAGAUCUAAUAUAUA